CACAAGCAAAGGGUCACCUGCCGGGCCUGAGCCUUGUAGUGGUGGUGGUGACACACUGCUCAGGCCUGUGCCCUCGUGGACAUGUCCUCCAGGUUUUGUUACCAGCUUAACUUUGUGGAUUGGCCUUGGGGUGACUCAGCCCAAGUGUUGGUGACACCUUGGGAGGCCUGGCUUCAGUGCCAUCAUGUGCACCAAGCUUCCAGCAGUCUACAUCCAACUAGGAAAGACAAAGCCAGGGUGAUGCCCAGGGGCUGGUAUGGUGGUGCCCGCCUCAGUACCAGCGCUGGAGCGGUGGAUCUCUGUGAGUCUGACGACAACCUAGUCUACGUGGAGUAGCAGUUCUCAACCCCUUUGGGGGCUGGAUGACCUUUCAUGGGGGGGGGGUCUCCUAAGGCCACCAGAAAACACAGAUAUUUACAUUAUGAUUCAUAACAGUAGCAAAGUCAGAGUUGUGAAGUAACAAUGAAAUAAUUUAUUAAAGGGUCACAGCCUUAAGAAGGUUCAGCACUACUGACAGAGAUCCAGACCAGUCAAGAUUACACAGUGAGACCCUGUCUCAAGACAAAAAUGAAAACGAAAACAAAAGAAUGAUGCGAGGGCGAGGCAUUUGGAAAAGGGAGUGUGGCUCAGGCUCUGUCUGCCAGCGACUGGUAGGAGGAGGGGAGCUUUGUUUGAAAGGCAAGCGUGGGGAGCCCAAUGUGAAGCAUUGGUGCCACCUAGUGGCUCUACUGGGUACUGUUAGCAUUACUGCUUGACACUAAGACCUUGAAUCUGCCCUGGGUUACUUACCUAAGUUCUUGGGAGCUAGGCAGAUGCCAUGGACCCCAAGAAGGGGGAUUUUUCUAUCCAUUUAAUGUCUCAUAAGUCACAUUUUCUUGAUGUCGAAGUUACCUGGACCCACAGAAGACAUAUAUCACUCUAGUUUCAUGUCCGUUUCUUCCCCCCAUUAGAGCAUUAGAAAAGGAACAAGUUACCAUAUUUGUCUUUUUGUGAUUGGGUUACUUCGCUCAGAAUGGUUUCUUUGAGUUCCAUCCAUUUUCCUGCAAAUUUCAAGAUUCCAUUGUUUUUUUCUGCUGAGUAGUACUCCAUUGUAUAAAUGUACCACAUUUUCU
rnacentral:lncRNA from 1 species